UGGCAGUAUUGGAGGAGGAAAACUGAAGAGACUGAGCUUCUAGCAGUGGAUUGAGUUGAAUGAAACAAGCUAACUAGUAGGAGAGAAGCUGGCAUGAGCUGGAAACUGCAACAAGCUGGCUUAGGCGUUGUUUUGAAGCUGGAAGUGAAAGGAGGCUCACAGUGUUGAUAAGAGGAACUGAGGGAUACCUGACCUGCUCUAGGAUUACAAGAGCCCCCAUUCCUGUUACACGACAGAGGUCAGAAUUUACUGGCAUCAGCGGCAGCUGCUACAGAGAGCAAAG
ensembl:lncRNA